rnacentral:rRNA from 1 species
UGAGCAAUCUGCCCUUCUCAUCGGAAUAAGCGUUGGAAACGACGUCUAAUGCCGAAUACGACCUCCUUUCGCAUGAUCGGAGGUGGAAAGCUCCGGCGGAGAAGGAUGAGCUCGCGGCCUAUCAACUAGUUGGUGUGGGUAACGGCCCACCAAGGCGACGACGGGUAGCCGGCCUGAGAGGGUGACCGGCCACACUGGGACUGAGACACGGCCCAGACUCCUACGGGAGCAGCAGG